CCUCCCGCCCCCGGGUCUACGGAUCACACCUUGAGCUCGCGUCUCAGGGAAGCAAAUAGUUCAACAUGAAGGCCGUAAUAUUUGUUGGAGGAUAUGGAAGUCUGACUUCUGCCUUUGACAUACUGUAUCCCGAAGCUGCUAGUAGAUUCUACUAACAAACACAUCAUCUUCCAUCAGGAUAUGUACAACUUCCUGAUGGAUUCUGUGGAGAAUCUUGGCGUGAAAAUCACAUACUCACGAGAGACAGAGCCCUAGGGAUGCUGGCCCUCUUGUUCUUGCCAGGGAUAAGCUUGUGGAUGGAUCUGUUGAACCUUCUUUCGUCCUAAACUGCAAUAUCAUUUUGAAUACUCUUUUGCCUAGCUAUUAUGAUUUCACAACAGUAUAGCAGCAGUUCUUUUCUCCCACCAAAUCAGUACUAGCCACCAACCACCAGCCACUAGCCAGCCAACAAUACAUUUUUCUCACAGCAAAUCAGCACCAGCCACCAGCCACAGUCAGCAGAGCAUAACAGAGUGAAUUAUGGCCACGAAGGUAAAUAGCUGCCUUUGCUGUCUCCAUUGUCGCGGAACCAUUUUCCUAGGUACUGACUUUUCUGUCAAGCAUGGUGUUGUGAUUACAGAGGAGGUAACAGGAAGGGUUCAACGUUUUGUGGAGAAGCCAAAGACAUUUGUUUGUGGGUGACAACGUUAACGCAGGCAUUUGCUUGUUGGAGCCCUCCACUCCGUCCUUGACUGUAUUCCGUUGAAGCCAACGUCAUUUGAGAAGAAGUUGUUCCCUCGAAUUGUGGCCGAGAAAGAAGCUCUAGCCAUGGUUCUUCCACAGUUCUGGAUGGACUUCACCGGCCUGCAGCUGUACCUGGGUUCAGUCAGGAAGAGCUCACCUGGCCGGCUAGCCAGGCGAGCACGUCGUCAGGGACGUCCUGGGGCAUGAUGGAAGAAGGCUGUUUUGUGAGCUCUGCAACCGUUCCACAGCUGGUCCAAGAACCAAGACAUUGGUGAAGACUGAAGAGACCAGGCUCUACAACCGUUUGAACGGCUUGUGCUGUAUGAACUCUAUCAUUCUUCUUCUUAACUAAAAAAAAGCA